GCGCUCAGGAUACGGAAUGGGCCCGCGUAGCGGCCCGUGGGCCGGAUACCCUGGCGGCGUGCGGGCCCGACGAAGCGGGUUCGCAAAGCCGACAGCCGUCGCACCAGGGAGACGCCCCAUG
rnacentral:sRNA from 1 species